rnacentral:sRNA from 1 species
GGCGUAUCCAUGCUCCAGGACAGCUGGAGCAGUGUAAUUUCCUAUCAAAAAGUCCUCCGCCACUGUGUCAGUGACAAGGUCACAGUUAUUGGAGCUGGAAUUACUGUGUAUGAAGCCUUAGCAGCUGCUGAUGAGCUUUCGAAACAAGAUAUUUUUAUCCGUGUCAUCGACCUGUUUACCAUUAAACCUCUGGAUGUCGCCACCAUCAUCUCCAGUGCAAAAGCCACAGAGGGCCGGAUCAUUACAGUGGAGGAUCACUACCCGCAAGGUGGCAUCGGGGAAGCUGUCCGUGCAGCCGUCUCCAUGGAUCCUGACAUUCAGGUUCAUUCGCUGGCAGUGUCGGUAGUGCCCCAGAGUGGGAAGUCCGAGGAAUUGCUGGAUAUGUAUAGAAUUAGUGCCAGACAUAUCAUAGUGGCCGUGAAAUGCAUGUUGCUGAACUAA